rnacentral:rRNA from 1 species
GAUGAACGCUAGCUACAGGCUUAACACAUGCAAGUCGAGGGGGAACGGCAUUAAGUGCUUGCACUUUUUGGACGUCGACCGGCGCACGGGUGAGUAACGCGUAUCCAACCUUCCCAUGACUAAGGGAUAACCUGCCGAAAGGCAGACUAAUACCUUAUGGUCUUCACUGACGGCAUCAGAUGUGAAGUAAAGAUUUAUCGGUUAUGGAUGGGGAUGCGUCUGAUUAGCUUGUUGGCGGGGUAACGGCCCACCAAGGCAACGAUCAGUAGGGGUUCUGAGAGGAAGGUCCCCCACAUUGGAACUGAGACACGGUCCAAACUCCUACGGGAGGCAGCAGUGAGGAAUAUUGGUCAAUGGGCGAGAGCCUGAACCAGCCAAGUAGCGUGCAGGAUGACGGCCCUAUGGGUUGUAAACUGCUUUUGUAUGGGGAUAAAGUCAAUCACGUGUGAUUGUUUGCAGGUACCAUACGAAUAAGGACCGGCUAAUUCCGUGCCAGCAGCCGCGGUAAUACGGAAGGUCCGGGCGUUAUCCGGAUUUAUUGGGUUUAAAGGGAGCGUAGGCUGGAGAUUAAGUGUGUUGUGAAAUGUAGGCGCUCAACGUCUGACUUGCAGCGCAUACUGGUUUCCUUGAGUACGCACAACGUUGGCGGAAUUCGUCGUGUAGCGGUGAAAUGCUUAGAUAUGACGAAGAACUCCGAUUGCGAAGGCAGCUGACGGGAGCGCAACUGACGCUGAAGCUCGAAGGUGCGGGUAUCGAACAGG